AUUGAACGCUGGCGGCAGGCCUAACACAUGCAAGUCGAACGGUAACAGGAAGCAGCUUGCUGCUUUGCUGACGAGUGGCGGACGGGUGAGUAAUGUCUGGGAAACUGCCUGAUGGAGGGGGAUAACUACUGGAAACGGUAGCUAAUACCGCAUAACGUCGCAAGACCAAAGAGGGGGACCUUCGGGCCUCUUGCCAUCGGAUGUGCCCAGAUGGGAUUAGCUAGUAGGUGGGGUAACGGCUCACCUAGGCGACGACCCCUAGCUGGUCUGAGAGGAUGACCAGCCACACUGGAACUGAGACACGGUCCAGACUCCUACGGGAGGCAGCAGUGGGGAAUAUUGCACAAUGGGCGCAAGCCUGAUGCAGCCAUGCCGCGUGUAUGAAGAAGGCCUUCGGGUUGUAAAGUACUUUCAGCGGGGAGGAAGGGAGUAAAGUUAAUACCUUUGCUCAUUGACGUUACCCGCAGAAGAAGCACCGGCUAACUCCGUG
rnacentral:rRNA from 1 species